rnacentral:rRNA from 1 species
AGCAGCCGCGGUAAUACGGAUGGUGCAAGCGUUAUUCGGAAUUACUAGGUGUAAAGGGCGUGUAGGCGGUUUGUUAAGUUAGGUGUGAAAUCACACAGCUCAACUGUGUGGCUGCAUCUAAAACUGGCAGACUAGAGUAUGGAAGGGGAAAAUGGAAUUCCUGAUGUAGCGGUGGAAUGCGUAGAUAUCAGGAGGAACACU